rnacentral:rRNA from 1 species
UACGUAGGGUGCAAGCGUUGUCCGGAAUUAUUGGGCGUAAAGAGCUCGUAGGCGGUCUGUCGCGUCUGCUGUGAAAACUCAGGGCUUAACCCUGAGCUUGCAGUGGGUACGGGCAGACUAGAGUGCGGUAGGGGAGACUGGAAUUCCUGGUGUAGCGGUGAAAUGACGCAGAUAGUCAGGAGGAACACCGGUGGCGAAGGCGGGUCUCUGGGCCGGUAACUGACGCUGGAG